rnacentral:rRNA from 1 species
CAGUCGCCGCGGUAAUACGUAGGUGGCAAGCGUUGUCCGGAAUUAUUGGGCGUAAAGGGCUCGCAGGCGGUUUCUUAAGUCUGAUGUGAAAGCCCCCGGCUCAACCGGGGAGGGUCAUUGGAAACUGGGAAACUUGAGUGCAGAAGAGGAGAGUGGAAUUCCACGUGUAGCGGUGAAAUGCGUAGAGAUGUGGAGGAACACCGGUGGCGAGGGCGACUCUCUGGUCUGUAACUGACGCUGAGGAGCGAAAGCGUGGGGAGCGAACAGGAUUAGAGACCCCUGUAGUCCCUGUCCUUAUACA